GUGUGGGGGGACCUACACAUGCAAGUCGAGCGGUAACAGGAGAAGCUUGCUUUCUUGCUGACGAGCGGCGGACGGGUGAGUAAUGUAUGGGGAUCUGCCCGAUAGAGGGGGAUAACUACUGGAAACGGUAGCUAAUACCGCAUGACGUCUACGGACCAAAGCAGGGGCUCUUCGGACCUUGCGCUAUCGGAUGAACCCAUAUGGGAUUAGCUAGUAGGUGAGGUAAUGGCUCACCUAGGCGACGAUCUCUAGCUGGUCUGAGAGGAUGAUCAGCCACACUGGGACUGAGACACGGCCCAGACUCCUACGGGAGGCAGCAGUGGGGAAUAUUGCACAAUGGGCGCAAGCCUGAUGCAGCCAUGCCGCGUGUAUGAAGAAGGCCUUAGGGUUGUAAAGUACUUUCAGCGGGGAGGAAGGUGAUAAGGUUAAUACCCUUGUCAAUUGACGUUACCCGCAGAAGAAGCACCGGCUAACUCCGUGCCAGCAGCCGCGGUAAUA
rnacentral:rRNA from 1 species